GGACAACAGGCUUAUAGCUUUUAAAAGUUCAUAUUGACGAAGCUGUUUGGCACCUCUAUGUCGACUCGUCGCAGCCUGAUGCUGAAAAAGGUAUCAAAGGUUUGGCUGUUCGCCAAUUAAAGCGUCACGUGAGUUGGGUUCAGAACGAUGUGAAUCAGUUUGGUCUCUAUCUGCUUUAAUUGUUUAAAAAUUUAGAAGGUUUAUUUUUAGUACGAGAGGACCAAAAUAAAAAAAUCUAUGAUGCAUCGAUUACUUUUUUUUAAGUACGUCGAUUAGUUACAUUUUAAUUUUAUAAUUGCUGAAAGCAUCAAAAGCAAGAAAAUAACUUCGAACCAAAUUUUUUUAUAUAGAUAAACGUGGUAGAUUAACCACGUGCAUAGGCAAAUUGUUGGUUGUAGUAAUACAAAAGCUAAUUUGUACUAAUUUAUUU
rnacentral:rRNA from 1 species